rnacentral:sRNA from 1 species
GCUGGGCAAGGUGGUGCAUGCCUGUAAUGCCAGCGGCUUGGGAGGCUGAAGCAGGAGGAUCUCAGCUAGUCAAAACUAGCCUUGGUUACUUAGUGAGACCCUGUCUCUA